rnacentral:rRNA from 1 species
UACGUCGGGGGCUAGCGUUGUCCGGAUUUAUUGGGCGUAAAGAGCGUGUAGGCGGCCAGGUAGGUCUGCUGUGAAAACUCGAGGCUCAACCUCGAGACGUCGGCGGAAACCAUCUGGCUAGAGUCCGGAAGAGGAGAGUGGAAUUCCUGGUGUAGCGGUGAAAUGCGCAGAUAUCAGGAAGAACACCCGUGGCGAAGGCGGCUCUCUGGGACGGUACUGACGCUGAGACGCGAAAGCGUGGGGAGCGAACAGG